AACGAACGCUGGCGGCAUGCCUAACACAUGCAAGUCGAACGAAGGCUUCGGCCUUAGUGGCGCACGGGUGCGUAACGCGUGGGAAUCUGCCCUUGGGUACGGAAUAACUCCUCGAAAGGGGUGCUAAUACCGUAUGAUGUCGCAAGACCAAAGAUUUAUCGCCCAGGGAUGAGCCCGCGUAGGAUUAGCUAGUUGGUGGGGUAAAGGCUCACCUAGGCGACGAUCCUUAGCUGGUCUGAGAGGAUGAUCAGCCACACUGGGACUGAGACACGGCCCAGACUCCUACGGGAAGCAGCAGUGGGGAAUAUUGGACAAUGGGCGAAAGCCUGAUCCAGCAAUGCCGCGUGAGUGAUGAAGGCCUUAGGGUUGUAAAGCUCUUUUACCCGGGAAGAUAAUGACUGUACCGGGAGAAUAAGCCCCGGCUAACUCCGUGCCAGCAGCCGCCGUAAGAC
rnacentral:rRNA from 1 species